rnacentral:rRNA from 1 species
AUGCUCAAGUUGCAGGAGGAGAAGAUGAUCCUUCUCCUUCCCUCCAUUCCUUCCCCACGAGCAAAGCUCCUCGUGCCAAUACUAGUUGUACUGAUGGCAGUUCAGCUCCUCGUGGCAACCGUAGCCGCCUUGCCGGGCUGCCCGAUGGCCUGCGGCAACGUCAUCGUCCCCUACCCUUUUGGCUUCCGACUAUGUUGCUUCCAAAGGAACUUCAACCUCACCUGCGACGAGACACACCACCCUCCGAAGCUGUUUCUCGGCGACGGCGUGGAAGUGGACGCCAUAUCCCUCUCGGAAGGCACCGUGCGUGUCCAGAGAAGGAUUCUGAGGUCUUACGAAAACAUGACGCGGCCGCAAUCUCUCGGCUUUGGCGCCGCAUGGCCCGACGCCGCCUGGCCCGGUCAGAAUACCGGAGUGCGGCUAGCGGUGUCAACUGAGCACAACGUCUUCGUGGUCAUCUGGUGCAGCCUCGUCGCCUACCUCAUCGCCCAACAAACAGUUACGAGCAAUGGAGACGGGGCUAAUGUUGGCGCAUGCGCUGCGCUGUGUAACUUCGGGAUUCCGGAUCCAGGCCACACCUCGUGCUCGGGCAUCGGCUGCUGCCGGACGACCAUCUCGCAGAGUCUGGCUGCGUACGGUGUCCAGUUCAAUCGGUUGGACGGCACUCCGUUCGGGGCUGCUCAUCCGUUCGGGGCUGCGUUCAUGGUCGAUCGUGGGUGGUUCACCGGGACCAACAUCGCAACCAUACAGAAUGCCACAUAUCAGGAUUUGGGUAGCUAUGCCAACGUCACCAGCAUACCCACGGUGCUGGAAUGGUGGCUGGAUGUGGAAGCCGAUCGUGACCUGCUCGUGAGGGAUCUCGGUUCCGAGUCUGGUUGGAGAUGCAUAAGCUUGAACAACGUCGCUCUCAACGUUAGCAACCAUUACGGUGCAGUAAGUUGCAACUGCUCGAAUGGAUACGAAGGCAACUCUCACAUCGUUAAUGGAUGCCAAGAUAUCGACGAGUGCCUACAGCCUGAUGUAUGCCAGAACGGAACCUGCACCAAUAUGCCAGGGACAUACCAAUGUUCAGCGAAAAAAAGUGCCAGCCGCCUCCCAGGUUUGAUUACCAUAAUUGCAAUUAGUGUGGGUUUUGGCAUAGUGUUUUCUCUUCUGGGUAUUUCCAAAAUCACCAAUAAAUUUAAGCAAAGAAGAGCCAAGAAUUUGAGACAAAAGUUCUUCAAGAAAAAUCAUGGAUUGCUUCUGCAACAGCUAAUCUCUUCAAACCAAGAUAUAGCGGAAAGAAUGAGGAUUUUGAGUUGGACCAAGCAACCAACAAAUUUGACCAUAAUCGCAUCCUUGGUGGCGCUGGCCAUGGCACAGUGUACAAAGGCAUCUUAUCUGAUCAGCGUAUUGUUGCCAUUAAGAAGGCCAAAAUUGUUGUUCAAAGGGAAAUCGACCAGUUUAUCAACGAGGUUGUCAUACUUUCACAGACAAACCAUAGGAAUGUGGUGAAGCUCUUUGGGUGCUGCCUAGAGACAGAGGUUCCUCUACUUGUUUAUGAGUUCAUAUCGAACGGAACUCCCUCAUUUCAUGUCCAUGGCCAAAGUGAGAACCCAUUAUCAUGGAAAGAUAGGAUGAGGAUUGCACUGGAAACUGCAAGGGCCAUUGCAUAUCUACACUCUGCUGCUUCAAUAUCAGUAUACCACAGAGAUAUCAAAUGUGCAAAUAUACUACUUACUGAUACUUUAACAUCAAAAGUAUCAGAUUUUGGAGCUUCAAGGUCAAUUGCAAUAGAUGAGACAGGAAUACUUACAGCUGUUCAAGGAACCCAUGGUUACCUUGAUCCUGAAUACUACUACACUAGUCGACUCACGGAGAAAAGCGAUGUUUAUAGCUUUGGUGUCAUCCUAGCAGAGUUACUGACAAGGGUGACACCAGUUUUUCAUUCCCAUUCGUCAGAAGUCACAAGCCUAGCAUCGCAUUUUGUGUCUCUUAUAAGGGACAAUCGAUUAUUAGAUAUUCUAGAUACACAAAUUGUUGAGGAGGGAGGGGUUGAAGAUGCUCAGGUGGUUGCAAGACUGGCAGAAGCAUGCUUAAGUUUAAAAGGUGAAGAAAGGCCUACAAUGAGACAAGUGGAGACAACACUUGAGGAUGUCCAGAACUCAACAGUCAAUCUUAGUUCUCAGAUCACAAGAGUGAACCGCAAUGCUAUAAAUGAUCAGUCAUACAAGGGAAGCAAAGGCGGAGAAGGAACCAGGUUGUACAGCUUGGAAAAAGAGUUCAUCCAAUCAUCUGAAAUUCCAAGAUGA